rnacentral:rRNA from 1 species
UACGUAGGGCGCGAGCGUUAUCCGGAAUUAUUGGGCGUAAAGAGCUCGUAGGCGGUUUGUCACGUCUGCUGUGGAAACUGGAGGCUCAACCUCCAGCCUGCAGUGGGUACGGGCAGACUAGAGUGCGGUAGGGGAGAUUGGAAUUCCUGGUGUAGCGGUGGAAUGCGCAGAUAUCAGGAGGAACACCGAUGGCGAAGGCAGAUCUCUGGGCCGUAACUGACGCUGAGGAGCGAAAGCAUGGGGAGCGAAC